rnacentral:rRNA from 1 species
UAGGGCGGGACACGAGAAAUCCUGUCUGAAGCUGGGUCGACCACGAUCCAACCCUAAAUACUAAUACCAGAUCGAUAGUGCACAAGUACCGUGAGGGAAAGGUGAAAAGAACUGAGGUGAUCAGAGUGAAAUAGAACCUGAAACCAUUUGCUUACAAUCAUUCAGAGCCCUAUGUAGCAAUACAGGGUGAUGGACUGCCUUUUGCAUAAUGAGCCUGCGAGUUGUGGUGUCUGGCAAGGUUAAGCAAACGCGAAGCCGUAGCGAAAGCGAGUCUGAAUAGGGCGCUUAGUCAGAUGCUGCAGACCCGAAACGAAGUGAUCUAUCCAUGAGCAAGUUGAAGCUAGUGUAAGAACUAGUGGAGGACUGAACCCAUAGGCGUUGAAAAGCCCCGGGAUGACUUGUGGAUAGGGGUGAAAGGCCAAUCAAACUUCGUGAUAGCUGGUUCUCUCCGAAAUAUAUUUAGGUAUAGCGUUGUGUCGUAAUAUAAGGGGGUAGAGCACUGAAUGGGCUAGGGCAUACACCAAUGUACCAAACCCUAUCAAACUCCGAAUACCUUAUAUGUAAUCACAGCAGUCAGGCGGCGAGUGAUAAAAUCCGUCGUCAAGAGGGAAACAACCCAGACUACCAGCUAAGGUCCCUAAAUCUUACUUAAGUGGAAAACGAUGUGAAGUUACUUAAACAACCAGGAGGUUGGCUUAGAAGCAGCCAUCCUUUAAAGAAAGCGUAAUAGCUCACUGGUCUAGUGAUUUUGCGCGGAAAAUAUAACGGGGCUAAAGUAAGUACCGAAGCUGUAGACUUGCGCACAACUUAGAUUAUUUAAGUUUAGAAUAUGAGAAACUAAGUUAUAUGUUUAGUUAUAUUUUUACUGAUUUUUAUAGAGUAAAGAUAGAAAUAAAACUUAGUAAAAUCAGUAAAAAUAUUCUUAGACUAAAGUUAAGUAGUUUAAGUUGUGUGCAAGUGGUAGGAGAGCGUUCUAUUUGCGUCGAAGGUAUACCGGUAAGGAGUGCUGGAGCGAAUAGAAGUGAGCAUGCAGGCAUGAGUAGCGAUAAUUAAUGUGAGAAUCAUUAACGCCGUAAACCCAAGGUUUCCUACGCGAUGCUCGUCAUCGUAGGGUUAGUCGGGUCCUAAGUCGAGUCCGAAAGGGGUAGACGAUGGCAAAUUGGUUAAUAUUCCAAUACCAACAUUAGUGUGCGAUGGAAGGACGCUUAGGGCUAAGGGGGCUAGCGGAUGGAAGUGCUAGUCUAAGGUCGUAGGAGGUUAUACAGGCAAAUCCGUAUAACAAUACUCCGAGAACUGAAAGGCUUUUUGAAGUCUUCGGAUGGAUAGAAGAACCCCUGAUGCCGUCGAGCCAAGAAAAGUUUCUAAGUUUAGCUAAUGUUGCCCGUACCGUAAACCGACACAGGUGGGUGGGAUGAGUAUUCUAAGGCGCGUGGAAGAACUCUCUUUAAGGAACUCUGCAAAAUAGCACCGUA